GAUGAACGCUGGCGGCGCGCCUAAUACAUGCAAGUCGAGCGAGAAGACGUAGCAAUACGUUUGUAAAGCGGCGAACGGGUGGGGAAUACAUGGGUAACCUACCCUCGAGUGGGGAAUAACUAGCCGAAAGGUUAGCUAAUACCGCGUACGCUCCUUGGACUUCGGUUCAGGGAGGAAAGCGAUACCGUGGGUAUCGCGCUCUUGGAUGGGCUCAUGUCCUAUCAGCUUGUUGGUGAGGAACGGCUCACCAAGGCUUCGACGGGUAGCUGGUCUGAGAGGACGAUCAGCCACACUGGCACUGCGACACGGGCCAGACUCCUACGGGAGCAGCAGUAAGGAUAUUGCGCAAUGGGCGAAAGCCUGACGCAGCGACG
rnacentral:rRNA from 1 species